GAUGAACGCUGGCGGCGUGCCUAAUACAUGCAAGUCGAGCGAAGCGGGGACGGGUGAGUAAAACGUGGAAAAAUUACUAUAAGACUGGGAUAACUUCGGGAAAACGGAGCUAAACCGGAUACUUAGAGAUUGAUCUGCGUUGCAGUAGCUAGUUGGUAAGGUAACGGCGUACCAAGGCAACCAUGCAUAGCCGACCAGAGAGGGUGAUCGGCCCCACUGGAACUGAGGCACGGCCCAGACUCCUACGGGAGGCAGCAGUAGGGAAUCUUCCGCAAUGGGCGAAAGCCUGACGGCUCAACGCCGCGUGCGUGAUGAUGGUCUUCGGCUCGUAACAUUCUGUUAUUAGGGAAGCGGUACCUAAUCAGAAAGCCACGGCUAACUACGUGCCAGCAGCCGCGGUAAUAC
rnacentral:rRNA from 1 species